UUUAAAGUAUAAAAAACUGUACCUGAUGAACAGAUACAGUUUUUUUACUUAUUUUUUAAAGCUAUUUUUAAG
rnacentral:sRNA from 1 species